AAUGAACGCUGGCGGCAUGCCUAACACAUGCAAGUCGAACGAAGGCUUCGGCCUUAGUGGCGCACGGGUGCGUAACGCGUGGGAAUCUGCCCCUUGGUUCGGAAUAACAGUUAGAAAUGACUGCUAAUACCGGAUGGUGAAGUAAGUCCAAAGAUUUAUCGCCGAGGGAUGAGCCCGCGUAGGAUUAGCUAGUUGGUGUGGUAAGAGCGCACCAAGGCGACGAUCCUUAGCUGGUCUGAGAGGAUGAUCAGCCACACUGGGACUGAGACACGGCCCAGACUCCUACGGGAGGCAGCAGUGGGGAAUAUUGGACAAUGGGCGAAAGCCUGAUCCAGCAAUGCCGCGUGAGUGAUGAAGGCCUUAGGGUUGUAAAGCUCUUUUACCCGGGAUGAUAAUGACAGUACCGGGAGAAUAAGCUCCGGCUAACUCCGUG
rnacentral:rRNA from 1 species